AGGUUAGCAUGGGCGAAAGGAUUGUAACGGUCGGAGAAGCCAAUCAAAUUACCCAAGGGAUCCUCGACAUAAACCUCAUCAGGCUUCUUCUCGUUGGGGAAAGCUUGGUAUUUAAUGGCAUCGGCACUGAGUUGCUUAAGCAAGUCAAGCAAGUUGGGAUAGUAAAAAACAAGAGAACUCUUUUGUCCGCGCCAUUCAGAAUCUUCGGCAGCGGGGGAAAGGCUCAAUUCACCGGGGACUAAACGGAAC